AACUAAGCGGAGGAAAAGAAACCAACAGGGAUUGCCCCAGUAACGGCGAGUGAAGCGGCAACAGCUCAAAUUUGAAAUCUGGCCCCAGGCCCGAGUUGUAAUUUGCAGAGGAUGCUUUUGGCGCGGUGCCUUCCGAGUUUCCCUGGAACGGGACGCCAUAGAGGGUGAGAGCCCCGUACGGUUGGACACCAAGUCUUUGUAAAGCUCCUUCGACGAGUCGAGUAGUUUGGGAAUGCUGCUCAAAAUGGGAGGUAUAUUUCUUCUAAAGCUAAAUAUUGGCCAGAGACCGAUAGCGCACAAGUAGAGUGAUCGAAAGAUGAAAAGCACUUUGAAAAGAGGGUUAAACAGCACGUGAAAUUGUUAAAAGGGAAGCGCUUAUGACCAGACUUGCGCCCGGUGAAUCACCCAGCUCUCGCGGCUGGGGCACUUUGCCGGCUCAGGCCAGCAUCAGCUCGCUGUCGGGGACAAAAGCUUCGGGAACGUAGCUCUCUUCGGGGAGUGUUAUAGCCCGUUGCACAAUACCCUUCGGCGGGCUGAGGUACGCGCUCCGCAAGGAUGCUGGCGUAAUGGUCAUCAGCGACCCGUCUUGAAACACGGACCAAGGAGUCAACCUUAUGUGCGAGUGUUUGGGUGUCAAACCCCUACGCGUAAUGAAAGUGAACGCAGGUGAGAGCUUCGGCGCAUCAUCGACCGAUCCUGAUGUUCUCGGAUGGAUUUGAGUAAGAGCAUAUAGGGUUGGACCCGAAAGAAGGUGAACUAUGCGUGUAUAGGGUGAAGCCAGAGGAAACUCUGGUGGAGGCUCGCAGCGGUUCUGACGUGCAAAUCGAUCGUCAAAUAUGCGCAUGGGGGCGAAAGACUAAUCGAACCUUCUAGUAGCUGGUUU
rnacentral:rRNA from 1 species